AACGAACGCUGGCGGCAUGCCUAACACAUGCAAGUCGAACGAGACCUUCGGGUCUAGUUGCGCACGGGUGCGUAACGCGUGGGAACCUGCCCUUAGGUUCGGUAUAACUCCCCGAAAGGGGUGCUAAUACCGGUGAAUGUCUUCCGACCAAAGAUUUAUCGCCUUUGGAUGGGCCCGCGUUGGAUUAGCUAGUUGGUAGGGUAAAAGCCUACCAACGCGACGUUGCAUAGCUGGUCUGAGAGGAUGAUCAGCCACAAUGGGACUGAGACACGGCCCAGACUCCUACGGGAGGCAGCAGUGGGGAAUAUUGGACGAUGGGCGAAAGCCUGAUACAGCCAUGCCGCGUGAGUGAUGAAGGCCUUAGGGUUGUAAAGCUCUUUUACCCGGGAUGAUAAUGACAGUACCGGGAGAAUAAGCUCCGGCUAACUACGUG
rnacentral:rRNA from 1 species